UUCAGUUUAACUUUUGAAAGUCAUAGUAUUUAAGGUAACAAACUCAGCUAUUAACACAUUUUAUGAUGCUUUAAAAAGCUCAAAGAAUUGAACAGCUAUUGGUGCUAAGUUAUAAUUGUGUUCUAUAAAAUAAAUGUGAUUCACUAUUCUUUGUAAUUGCUACCUCCUGGUAUGUAUAAGAUAAAGAAAUUGAAUUUUACCUAUUUUCUCACAUACUAAUUUGGUGACGUAUCCUUUUAACUGUUGGCAAAUGUUAUAGGCUCUCUUGGCCUGUUUUUUAUUCCAUUAUUUUAACAUCUUUUGCAGUUUUCUCACAUAAGAUUGAAAACUGAAUCUAUGUGAAAUAAGCAGGUGUCUAUCAGUAAUGAUAUUUAAAAUAUGUCACAGCUGGAUUCCCUGUUUUGUAGGAGCAUCUGAAAUCAGCCAUAGCGGAACAGAUGGAAAUGCCCCAUUUGUUGGGGUCAAGAAGGAAAAGUUCUUACAUAGUUUUACACAUUUGGCUGGUGAUUGAUUUUGUGAAAAGAUAUGUUAAAAUUUGUUUGUUUUUUGAGACGGAGGCUCACUGUGUUGCCCUGGCUGGAGUGCAGUGGCGUGAUAUCGGCUCACUGCAACCUCUGCCUCUCGGACUCAAGCAAUCCUCCUGUCUCAGCCUACUGAGUAGCUGGGAUUACAGGCUCCUGCCACCACACCCAGCUAAUUUUUGUAUUUUUAGUAGAGACGGGGUUUCACCAUGUUGGCCAGGCUGAUCUCAAACUCCUGACGUCAAAUGAUGCACCUGCUUCAGCUUCUGAAAGUGCUGGGAUUACAGGCUUGAGCCACAGCGCCCGGUCUGAAAAGAUACGUUUAAAAAUUUUAUUUUAAAAAGGUGCUACAAGACAAUUCUACUAAAUCUCUAAUCUUUAAACUUUUUUUUAACCUCUUCACUGAGAUUAGGAAAAGAAUCUUGAUAUGACUCCUAGGUGAUAACUGUAUAAACAGACAACACCCCCACUCUUCAUCAUUCUAAUAAAGAGAGAGGAUUAUAUGCUUCAUUUGUUUAAAGUCCUUUAUUCAAACUCUCCUACUACUAACAUCAGAGGACAUGUUACUCUACUUUUUCAUAAAAACAAACUUGUGUAGUUAUUAGAAAGCAUCUAUUCACGGCAUCAUUAACAAAUUAGGCAUUAUACAGAAGUGAAUUUUCCAGGCAACUGAGGUGCUGCCUUAAACACAAAACUUUUUAUCUUAACCUAUCUGAAGUGUAUUCCCUGUAUUUCUACCUUCUGAAGCAGAACAAUGAUAGCAUUCAUUUCUUGAGGAUCCCCAGGUGUUAACUCUAGUAAAUCUUUUAAGGAGGGCUUUGUUCCCCUUCAUACUGAUGAGGGUCUAGCACUGUUGUAUGGUGCAUUGAAGACUAGCAUUCAGACCCCAUCCUGUCUCCAUUCAUCAUGGUGAAAGUCAGGUAUCGCGCUGGAAGUUAAUGCAGUAAUACAUUUAGAGACCAUGAGUUACCCCACGCUAAAUUAGACUCAAACUAAUGCGUUUUCAUGUUUUCAUUUUUAAAUGGCUUUUCUGUCUCUCUGUCAGGCAUCAUGUAUGCCUCCCCUGUCUUGAGUUGGGGCUAAAAAAUCAAGUGACUGAACUUAAGGUAAUUAUUUUUAAAACAACUAAAAUGAAAGUAUUAUAUUAAUAAAGUGCUGAGUUUUUUACAUUUAUUUUUCCUGCCAGAGCAAAAAAAAAAAAAAAACCAUUUAGUUUUCUCAUUGAUCACUGUUAGAAUUUUUCUGGUUUCUGUAAGUGAAUGUCAAAAGGUUCAGACACUUGAGUAAGCUGUAAUUCGGAUCAGCAGCAGUGUUAACACCAGUGUUUAGGCCUCUGAGAGUAAAAACAAUGUGUCGUACUGCCAAGUAUUGUUCCUGUUACUACCCAAUUCUUCAGUAUCUCAGGACACAGUUUAUCCUAAAAAGGUGUCCUGUUUGCUAACUACAGUGGCUGUGUUAUCGUUAAAGGAAAUACUGGGAAGUGUUACGGUCACCAGCUUCAAGUCACUGUCAUCUACCAAUGAGAUAGGGGCUACCAAGUAAAAUGUAGCCCAGGGCCACAUUCACAGAUGGAAGUGUUCAGUUAAGCAAAAGUAAAGUUACAUACUAAAAGCCCACAUGAAGAAGGAUUUGGAGAUAUUUCUUCCUGCUUUGCUUUGGCUGUAAAGUUCUGUACAUGUAUCAAACAGAGCAUUUCAACAGGCUGGCUAAUGUGUAGGAAGCUAGCUUUUCUUUGUGAUAUAAUUUGUCAUGUAAAAUCAUAAGCUAUUUUACAAGUGUAUUUCAUUCACUGUAUCUUAAAAUUCAUAUGGUUUUAUUUAAAGAUAAUUUCAUCAAACAG
rnacentral:lncRNA from 10 species